UCUAGAUUCGAGAACAAAUGUGGUGGCUUAUUUUAUUCAGCAUAACCGCUCGAAUUCUCAUUAUGAAUGGAACAAUGGAGCACUUAUUUGGCAAGAGAAUAGUAUUCCACAUGAUUCUGCUGUUACACUUUUCGAAGAGAAGCCCGUUCCUAAGUCAUUAUCCGUGACGAUGUGUGGAUUAGCUGGUCGGUGGAAUUAUUCUCACAAUAGCUUGCUUCUCGUUCAAUGUUAUUUGGAGAAAUCACAGGAUAGUGAAAAUGUCAUCACCAAACAUAAACAGUGUUUUACUUGUUGGUUGUCUAUUACUGUAUGUAACUAUAAUUAUCAAGACAACGGCAACGACCAUCAAAGAAAUGUGUGCGGU